rnacentral:lncRNA from 1 species
UAUCAGAUAAUAGCAAUUGCUCUUUGUCUUUUAGGAUUGGACAUUUGCCGUUGGUGGUGAUUUCUUGUGGAUUUCAAGGUCCAUGUUAUGCACUUGAUCGCAAUUCUGAAAAGGAAGCGUCAUAUAGUCAUUUUGCACUGGGAUCUUCAAAUUACCUUCGUGGUCCUGCCAAGAGGAAAAAUUGUCUCUAGAGAUACUCGGCUGAGUUACAGAGGUUCUCCAAGGCUGAGUGACUGUGGUUUCCACUGUAAGAUCUGAUCUACAGAGAAGAGCAAUUAUGAAGCUCUUUAAGGAUGCUGGGGAUCCCCUCACAAAUUUAUUUCUCAAAGUAUCAGUGAAAGGUGUGUCUUCUGGACCCUCCCAGUGAGGAGAGGAACUGGAGACACAGUCACACGGGGAAGAAGCCCAUGUGACUAUGGAGCUAGAGAUUGGAGUGAUGCAUCUAUCAGCCCAUGGAUGUCAACGAUUGCCAAAAACAACCAGAAGCCAGGAAGGAAGUCAUGUUCCUCAGAAGGAACAUGACACUGCUGACAUCUUAAUUCUGGACUUCUAGCUUCCACGACUGUGAGAUAAUAAAUUUCUGUUGCUUUAGCCACCUAGUUUGUGGUAAUUUGUUACAGAAACCCUAAGAAACUAAUACAAUAUGUUAUGCUGAGUUGUUUUAUUUCAUAUUUUCCUGUAGUUGGAAAUUACUUAUUAUUAAUAUGAUUUGUCCUAUGUAUCAUGAGUUGGCACUUCAACUCUGUAAUUAAAGAAGCAAAUAUUAUGGUAUACAAGUAGGAGUGUAGAAUUUAGGAACCAUGACAUAAUAGAUCUGAUAAAUUUUUAAGAGAUCUUUAUCUAACUUUGGUCUCCUCCAUUAAGAGGACAUGGAAAAUUCAGACACUUUAGAGCAGUAAAAAGGCAAAUGGUUUGAAAAAUAAGGCACUCUAGUCACAGUACCUAAAAGCUGAAAGGGACUUCAGUGAUUGUCCAUUCCAGGGCUGGCAUCUUCACAGUACAUGUGCUGCCCCUUCCACAGCAGACAUUGCUUUUCAAACACGGUGCUGUUCAGCCCUGAGCCCAGACUCAGAUGCACAAUCACCCUCUACACAGUGCACCACAUGGUUAUAACCAAACAAUCAGAGCUGGCCCCAAAUAAAGCUUCUUCACCACUGGGGUCCAAUCAAAUCUUUUUAUUUACAGCUGAAAAAAACUGAAGCCCAGGGAGAGAAAAGGAGUUAAUCAUAAGACCCAGAGUAAGUUAAGGUCUGGAUAUUUAUCCCCAUUUCAGUCUUGUGCGUGUCUAUUUCACCACAAUGUCUACUCCUCAGCAGAAAGCAAAGGAUUAAAAUCUUUUUGUUGCUGUUAUUGGAGAAAAUAUACUGGGGGAAUCAAAAUCUAAUUUCAAAAUCUAAAACUGAUUCCACGUAACUCCUUCAUAGUAUGUCUGGGAGUACCAUAGGCAUAUUAAAUCAUUUAGGAC